rnacentral:rRNA from 1 species
GACGAACGCUGGCGGCGUGCCUAAUACAUGCAAGUCGAGCGAAUCAACGGGAGCUUGCUCCCUGAGAUUAGCGGCGGACGGGUGAGUAACACGUGGGUAACCUGCCUGUAAGACUGGGAUAACUUCGGGAAACCGGAGCUAAUACCGGAUACUUUCUUUUCUCGCAUGAGAGAAGAUGGAAAGAUGGUUCUGCUAUCACUUACAGAUGGACCCGCGGCGCAUUAGCUAGUUGGUGAGGUAACGGCUCACCAAGGCGACGAUGCGUAGCCGACCUGAGAGGGUGAUCGGCCACACUGGGACUGAGACACGGCCCAGACUCCUACGGGAGGCAGCAGUAGGGAAUCUUCCGCAAUGGACGAAAGUCUGACGGAGCAACGCCGCGCGAGCGAAGAAGGCCUUCGGGUCGUAAAGCUCUGUUGUUAGGGAAGAACAAGUACGAGAGUAACUGCUCGUACCUUGACGGUACCUAACCAGAAAGCCACGGCUAACUACGUGCCAGCAGCCGCGGUAAAAC